CCGUCAGGCAGGGCGGUCCUCACCGGCCGCCCCGUCUGGAGAGCAGGCCAGAGCAGGAUGAGUGGCGUUCUCGCGAUUCCUGUCCAACGUCUCUGCGGAAUCAGAACAUGCACGCCCUGACUGCUCCUACCAAAA